CCUAAUACAUGCAGUCGUACGAACUUCCGUUAAUUGAUUAUGACGUACUUGUACUGAUUGAGAUUUUAACACGAAGUGAGUGGCGAACGGGUGAGUAACACGUGGGUAACCUGCCCAGAAGUAGGGGAUAACACCUGGAAACAGAUGCUAAUACCGUAUAACAGAGAAAACCGCAUGGUUUUCUUUUAAAAGAUGGCUCUGCUAUCACUUCUGGAUGGACCCGCGGCGUAUUAGCUAGUUGGUGAGGUAAAGGCUCACCAAGGCAGUGAUACGUAGCCGACCUGAGAGGGUAAUCGGCCACAUUGGGACUGAGACACGGCCCAKACUCCUACGGGAGGCAGCAKKAGGGAAUCUUCCACAAUGGACGCAAGUCUGAUGGAGCAACGCCGCGUGAGUGAAGAAGGGUUUCGGCUCGUAAAGCUCUGUUGUUAAAGAAGAACGUGGGUAAGAGUAACUGUUUACCCAGUGACGGUAUUUAACCAGAAAGCCACGGCUAACUACGUGCCAGCAGCCGCGGUAAUACGUAGGUGGCAAGCGUUAUCCGGAUUUAUUGGGCGUAAAGCGAGCGCAGGCGGUCUUUUAAGUCUAAUGUGAAAGCCUUCGGCUCAACCGAAGAAGUGCAUUGGAAACUGGGAGACUUGAGUGCAGAAGAGGACAGUGGAACUCCAUGUGUAGCGGUGAAAUGCGUACAUAUAUGGAAGAACACCAGUGGCGAAGGCGGCUGUCUGGUCUGCAACUGACGCUGAGGCUCGAAAGCAUGGGUAGCGAACAGGAUUAGAUACCCUGGUAGUCCAUGCCGUAAACGAUGAUUACUAAGUGUUGGAGGGUUUCCGCCCUUCAGUGGCUGCCGCUAACGCAUUAAGAAAUCCGCCUGGGGAGCACGACCGACAGGGCUGAACUCAAUUGAAUUGACGGGGUCCCGCACAAGCGGUGCAGCAUGUGAUUAACUUCGAUGCUACGCCGAGGAAUCCUUACCAGGGUCUUUGACGAUCUACUGACAGUCCUAGGAGAUUAC
rnacentral:rRNA from 1 species